rnacentral:tRNA from 1 species
GCGGAAGUGGCGGAAUUGGCAGACGCAUCAGCUUGAGGGGCUGACGGGAGCAAUCCCGUGGAGGUUCGAGUCCUCUCUUCCGCACCA